AGGUCAUUUCAAAGAAGGCUUAUGUAAGUGUUCUGAAUCCAAGAGCUCUUAAUGCUGUGACCAAAGAUUGAAGUUCUCUGUAGGAUGUCGUAGUUACUCAAUAGAAGUGCUAUGUUUGCAGAAGAGUAAUAAUA